CAGGUACUUUCCGACACUCAGGCCCGGGGCGCAAGCGGGCUUCACUGUUCUCCACACGGGGAUCUGAGUUCUGCGUUGAAGCCGUGCGGCWGGAUCCCUGCUUGACUCCUUGGAAGGAGGCCAUCAUGAAGAGAUUUAUACAUUAAACUUGAAAUGGGCACUGUCAGGUGCCAGCCUCCAGAGCUUUGUAAAGACCUCAACCUAGAGACAUGGCCCAGAAAUAUUUGGGGUCUGCCUGGGCCUUAUCGUCUGCCCUGCACUGUUCCCCGCAACUGAAGGUGUAUACUCCUUCACUUCUUGGCAAGUGAACGGCUUGAGCCUCCCCAGGCAGUGAGUCUACACCAAGUUGCAGAUCACUACAGGACUGACCUUGUAUAGGGUUCAUGGAGGAGACAGGCUGGCCUGAACCACUAUUCUGUAGGACUGUGGAGAACUCAGAGGAGUGAUAUCAUGGAGGAUUUCCUCAGCCUGCUGGGGAGUGGCCGUGGGGGUGGAAAGCAGAGAGGGAAGUCUCACCUGAUGGUUUUGCUGAGGGCUGCUUAUAGGAGAGCCCUUCUCCUUGGCCGCUGGCCUCUUCUAUAUCCAGGACACACUUGGGCACCAUGGAAAUAUCUACCCAGCCAGCAAUACUUACUCAGCCAACCACACUGCUUUGUGAUCUAGCAGUUCUACUCUUGAUAUAUACCUGGGUGA